GUUCAAAAAUCUCAAAAUCGAGCUCUUUCAGUUUAUUGAGUUCAAACCUCCUUACCAGUUACCUCUCAAAACCCUAACCCUCCAUCAUUCUCUUCAUUGUCGCCAAAUGCCAGCCGAGCAACCAUCAUUGGUUCAUCACCAGUCACUGCCCCUCAUCGUCUGAGCAACCACCAUCCUUUCGGCGAACGUCGUCGUCGCUCAUCUCAUCUUUCCCCUUACCUUUAUCUCUCUUCUCUUAGAAUCUCAGUGAGACAAUGACUCGUUGCCCGAGCAACCACCAUCAUCAACAGUAGCGUCAGUGAUAGCAGUCGAGCACCGGUCACCGGCCAUAGCUCAAGCUCAACGUUGUCUCCUUGGUCCAUUCGCCACUACUCAAGCUCAAGCAAACCUUACACUUCAACCGUUCAGCAUCAUCAGCCUUGUGCUGCAACCCACGACUGCCACCAGGAACCCAUGCCAUUACAUACUCACACUUGCCCACCGCCGGGAACCGCCUACCGCCGUCCCCUGCCUCUUUUCUCAAGUUUCUUUUGAUGAAACACCUGCUUCUUCUAUGUGUCCUAUUGGUAAAUCUAUUGAAACUCCGAUGACUCCAUCCUCAAAUCCAAGUGGAAGUGAAAGUGCAAGCACAAAUGUUGAUGGAAAUGGUGCUCAUGCAAGUGGUGCAUCUAAUUAGCAUAUGCUUAAACUUUGGUCAUUUGCAUGAAGGAUAGUUUGGAGCCUUAAAUAAGUUAAUUGGUCAUUUGCAUGAAGGAUAGCUCAUUAGCCUUGAAGAAGUUAAUUGGAGCCUUGAACUAUCUUUUAUAGUUUUUUUGUAAUGGUUGUAUGGAUAAAUUGGUUAUUUUAAACUAUUUGGGACUGAUUUUGAUAUAUGCUAGUUAGCGUUUUUUUCUUCUUUUUGGUUUUGUUGAGUUGACACUUAGUGUGGCUAUGUGAGUCUUUA